UACGUAGGCAGCAAGCGUUGUUCGGAGUUACUGGGCGUAAAGGGUGUGUAGGCGGUGAUUUAAGUUUGGUGUGAAAUCUCCCGGCUUAACCGGGAGGGUGCGCCGAAUACUGAAUGACUUGGAGUGCGUGAGAGGAAAGUGGAGUUCCUGGUGUAGCGGUGAAAUGCGUAGAUAUCAGGAGGAACACCGGUGGUGUAGACGGCUUUCUGGACCGUAACUGACGCUGAGACACAAAAGCGUGGGUAGCAAACAGG
rnacentral:rRNA from 1 species